CUGGAUAUGAGGAUGAUAGCCAGGGGCGGCUACAGGCACCAGCACGCUGAGCCCGUGCUUGGGUCGGCAAGCCACAGGGGGCGCUCUGCUGGUCGCCAUGAGGGCAGCAAGCAGGUUGCUUUCAGCAACAUGUCUGCAGAGGGUCCACUGGUCUCACGGCUCCAGCGGACCUCCCACAGGCCACCCCUGAAGAUAGUCCAUCCAAACCCAUCUUGGCAGUAUUUUGUAACUGAACCAGAGGGAAGAGUGCCACCUGUAUAUUGAUGCCACCACUUCCUGGAGCACCUUAUCUUCCUCAUUCAAGUACUGGCUCAGUUGGAUCCUGGUUAGCAAUAACCGAUCUAACACUAUUACAGCUGAGUGAUAUAGGAAACCUUGUCACAUUUUAAAUACUGUUAACAGAAGCCAAAAUAGGCCCUGGUGAUUUCGAGAGCUCCAUCUCCAGCUCAGGAGUCUGUUGCAGGAUCAGAGCUUUACUCAUCAGGGAAGGUUGCCAUUUAAGCCAUUAGAUAAUACAAUAUAUCAAUGCCCUUUAAUUGCAUUGUUAUGAGCUUUGUGAAAACUGUGUAUUGGAAGUGAAGGGGGAGGGACACUAAAAGAAAUUGUUGUGACAGCAUCCCCAUCGGCCCAGUAAAUCAAUAUUAAAAUUACUUGUAGAAUUCAAAGUGGAUGGUUGAAAGGGCAUUGCCCAGUGCAGGCAGACUUGUUUCUUAAAUAGCAACACUACGGUUCAGGAAACUUUCUCCCAUGUGGCACUAACUGCAUCUCAACCACCAUACUCAAGCCCUGCUACAACUUUAACUCCCAGAGAAGCCUCUCAAGGUUGCCUUCUCGAGCUUCUUUUCUCUUGAGCCUCCGGAAGAUUCGACCUGCUCAGCCUUUCAGAAGUUUUAAGCAGAUCUUUUCUCUCUCCUAUUUACGUGGAGAUAGGAACUAAGACGGACUCGCACGCACUGUCUCUCUCCCUCUGCAAAUAAAUUCCACGUAGGCUCUUCGAACCCACCCCAGAAGACAUGAUCAAUUACAAAACUUGGGGCUAAUGUACAUGAACCGUGUGAAUGCCCGCCCACUUCCCGGAACCCAAUAGGACCGAGUCCCGACAGGCUCGGCAGAUUAACGAGAGAGAACGUUCUCAUUCAUUGUCCAAAUCCCCGAGAGAGAGAGAGAGAGAGAGG